rnacentral:RNase_P_RNA from 1 species
GCGGGGCACUGGAUGGCCGCGGGCCUUGGCCCGAGGAAAGUCCGGACUCCACAAAGCAAUGGUGCCAGGUAACGCCUGGGCGGGGUAACCCGACGGAAAGCGCAACAGAGAACAAACCGCCCGUGCAGGUCACGGGUAAGGGUGAAACGGUGGGGUAAGAGCCCACCGGAGGACUGGUAACAGGACUCGCAUGGCAAGCCCCACCAGGAGCAAUGCCGAAUAGGAACCUUGCGCGGGGCAUGAUCGGGCAACCGAUAUCGCCGCAGGGCAGCUUUGGCCCAAAGGUUCGGGUUGGCAGCUAGAGGCGCAGGGGCGACCUUGCGUUUAGAUGAAUGGUCAUCCAAGGGGGAAACCCCUGGACAAAAUCCGGCUUAUAGGUGCCCCGCGUGU